rnacentral:lncRNA from 1 species
UUUCCCGGUUGGGCAGGAGACACAGCCCAGUAAUUAAAACCACCAGCCCACCCCACCCCCCCCGGGGGGGGUAGGCGGGGAGGGGGAGGGAGUUCCGGUCGUGGUGCCGAGAACAUGAAUCCCACGAGGAACCAGAAGGUUGCAGGUUCUAUGCCUGGCCUUGCGCAGUGGGUCAAGCAUCCGGUGGUAAAGGCCGGCAGCUGUGGCUCCAAACCCAGCCCUAGUCUGGGAACCUCCACACUCCGCGAACGCGGCCCUGAAGAACAAAACAAAACACCCGCCCAAACAGCCACCAACUGCCGCGGAACCAACAUAAACACACUGAAAGCACCUUAAACGAAGAAAGACUUGAGGCGUAAAGUAAAACUCAAAGCCGGAGUUCCCGUCGUGGCGCAGUGGUUAACGAAUCGGUUGCGGGUUCAAGCCCUGGCCUUGCUCCGUGGGUUAAGGAUCCGGCGUUGCGGUGCCGAGAACUGUGGUGGAGGUUGCAGACGUGGCUCGGAUUCCGCGUUGCUGUGGCUCUGGCGUAGGCGGGCAGCUGCAGCCCCGGUUCGACCCCCAGCCUGGGAACCUCCACAUGCCGCGGGAGCGGCCAAGCAAAUGGCACCAAGACCCGAAGAAAAAAAGGAAAAAAAAAAACAAACUCAAACCCACCUAUAGCAGCCAGCUAGAGAACACGGCUAUAAAACUCAGCCUCCAAACUUCCCACAGAAAAAAAGCUUCAUAACAGAAAGACGACGUAAUGGACAACAUGAUAGAAUAAAACUUCCCUUCUAAAGGCUCUUCUAACCGCCAAGGUGACGCCCCUUCUACUUUUCAAACCCUGUCGUGUUCCCCCGCAGGGGGUGCACCGUUCCCGGAAGUACUGCAAUACCAGGUCGAUGCGUGGAGUGGACGGAGCAAGCUCCUAUUCCAACUCCCAGCUCCAAAAAUCCAUUUAAUAUAUUGUCCUCGGAUAGAGGACGUAUCAGAUAUUAAACUGAUAAGAACAGAUACUACACUUGAUCUUAGCCAAAAGGCCGAGAAGCGAUGCCCGCCCCCACCCCCAGCGCCCGCACCGCCCGGCCCGCAGCCACACUCAACUCACGGUGACCCCCACCACCCCGCGCUCCCGCUCGCCCCUCCUUCGCCUCCCUCGCACCACUGCGGCGGGCGCUACGCCGGCCUCUCCCGCGGAUGUUUUCCUCCCUACAUCGUCAAAGACGACUCCUCCACCGCUCGCGGCCUCGCCGGCCUCGGGCUGGGGCGACCUUUGCCGUUUGCAUGUCCCGCCCGGUCCCAGCCGAGCAGGCGUGGCCAAGGCGGGCUCGCCGGGCCCUGGGGACCGCCUCCCGGCGCCCGGCGCGCAGGCCGGGCCGCAGAGGAUGCCCUUCGUCUUUGGCACCCCAAGCCGACAGGAGAGACGCGGUGGGCGGCCGGAGGGGCCGGGGGAAGGAGCUGCUGGCGGAGAUUUUCCUGAAGCCAAAGUGUGCCAAUGGCCUCCGACUGCGGAGGGACGAGCUUCGUGCCGUCGUCGCAGGAGGGCCUGGUUCUGAGUCCCGGCCUUGGCAGGUCUGGAGCGGGGCUUCCCGCGGCGCCGGCGCCGGCGCCGUCAGCCCCCAGCCAGGCGGCGGGCGUGCGGGUGGGGAGGGCCCGGCUGGGCCGACGCAAGGAGCCUCCCCAGCUCCAGCGCCUGCGUCUGCCGGCCGCCUCCACGGACCGGGCCGUCGGAGAGCGCCCUCUGCCCGAGACGUCGAUCCCUACACCCCCUCCGCCCCCGGCCGCUUGUGGCCACAGCUCCUCGCCGCAGGCCUCCCGCUGGGCUCUUGCGCACCCCGCCCCGCGUCUGCCUGCCGCCCUCCUCCUUCGUGUUCCCUCCCAGCCGGUGCUUCUUUUCCAGUCCACCCUUCCCCACCCGCCGCCGAGACCGGAGGGGACCCUCCUCAGCCCUUGUCGCCCCGUCAUCCCAGCGCUAGCCCGGGGGCCGGCCUGGAAGGAGGUGCACGGUAGACGCUCGUUGAGCGAGUGAAAGAGGCGCAGAACAGACGGAAUCGGACGAGGAGGGUACGGGCCGGUCCAGGGCUGAAGGGAGGGAAGAGGUGGCCAGGCGGCGGCAGGACACCCGAGAGGCGAGGGGACUGUCAGGGCCGCUCUGGGCGUCGAGGCCAGUCCGGGAGGCCAGUCCGGGAGGAUCAGCUCUGAGCUGCGGUGGGGGCUCACACCACAGCUGUGGCAACACCAGAUCCACAGCACACUGUGCCGGGUGGGCUACUGAGCCUGCAAGCCGGUGCUCCUGAGACCCCACCCGUCCCCCCGGGCCUCCGUGGGAACUCUAGGUACCAUUUGCUUUCUAUGGCCACGCCGUCGUCGGCACAUGGAAUUUCCUAGGCUAGGGGCCAAAUCAGAGCUACGGCUGCCGGCCCUCGCCACAGCCACGGGGACGCUGAGCCACGUCUGUGACCUCCACCGCAGCUCACCGCAACGCCGGAUCCCCGGCCCCCUGAGCGAGGCCAGGCACUGAUUGCACCGGGAUCCUGGUGGAUACCAGUUGGAUUGGUUUCUGCUGGACCCCAGCAAUGGGAACUCUUAGGAGGGCCCUUUGAAUACACUACCUCUUCGCUAGAGUCUAAGGUAGAGGGGGUGCCUCGUGGGCUUACUGGGCUUUUUGGUGCUCCCUGCAAUGUGUGGGCCAAGGCAAGUGCCUCGCUCCCUUCCCUCCACUCUAAUCCCCACUGCGUUAGUAUUAGCCCCGUUCUGCUCACCGGAGCUGUCACAGGCACAGGCCACCUGGAGCACUGGGCAUGUGGGAGCGCUGGGUCCUAAUUGGGAUGUGUUGUGAGGGUAGAGUACACGUGGGGUUUAAAAGACAGCCUUCAAGGAGUUCCCGCUGUGGCUCCAAGGGGUCAGGGCCUCUUGGGAGCGCUGGCACGCAGGUUCCCUCCUCAGGCUAAGGAUCCCGUGUUGCUGCUGCUGCUGUGGCUUCCAUAGUGACUGUGAUUGGGAUCUGGGCCUCAGCCUGGGAACUUCAUAUGCGAUGGGUCAACC